rnacentral:rRNA from 1 species
UACGGGGGGGGCAAGCGUUGUUCGGAAUUACUGGGCGUAAAGGGCUCGUAGGCGGCCCACUAAGUCAGACGUGAAAUCCCUCGGCUUAACCGGGGAACUGCGUCUGAUACUGGAGGGCUUGAGUUUGGGAGAGGGAUGCGGAAUUCCAGGUGUAGCGGUGAAAUGCGUAGAUAUCUGGAGGAACACCGGUGGCGAAGGCGGCAUCCUGGACCAACACUGACGCUGAGGAGCGAAAGCCAGGGAGCAAGCGGGA